rnacentral:rRNA from 1 species
GUGGGAUUAGCUAGUUGGUGAGGUAAUGGCUCACCAAGGCGACGAUCCCUAGCUGUUCUGAGAGGAUGAUCAGCCACACUGGGACUGGGACACGGCCCAGACUCCUACGGGAGGCAGCAGUGGGGAAUAUUGCACAAUGGGGGAAACCCUGAUGCAGCCAUGCCGCGUGUGUGAAGAAGGCCUUCGGGUUGUAAAGCACUUUCAGUAGGGAGGAAAGGGUGUAACUUAAUACGUUAUAUCUGUGACGUUACCUACAGAAGAAGGACCGGCUAACUCCGUGCCAGCAGCCGCGGUAAUACGGAGGGUCCGAGCGUUAAUCGGAAUUACUGGGCGUAAAGCGUGCGCAGGCGGUUUGUUAAGCGAGAUGUGAAAGCCCUGGGCUCAACCUAGGAAUAGCAUUUCGAACUGGCGAACUAGAGUCUUGUAGAGGGGGGUAGAAUUCCAGGUGUAGCGGUGAAAUGCGUAGAGAUCUGGAGGAAUACCGGUGGCGAAGGCGGCCCCCUGGACAAAGACUGACGCUCAUGCACGAAAGCGUGGGGAGCAAACAGGAUUAGAUACCCUGGUAGUCCACGCCGUAAACGAUGUC